UACGUAGGGGGCAAGCGUUGUCCGGAUUUAUUGGGCGUAAAGAGCGUGUAGGCGGCCUUGCAAGUCCGUUGUGAAAACUCGAGGCUCAACCCGGGAGGCGGGUGGAUACUGUCAAGCUCGAGUCCGGAAGAGGAGUGUGGAAUUCCGUGGUGUAGCGGUGAAAUGCGCAGAUAUCAGGAGGAACACCAAUGGCGAAGGCAGCACUCUGGGACGUGACUGACGCUGAGACGCGAAAGCGUGGGGAGCAAA
rnacentral:rRNA from 1 species